rnacentral:rRNA from 1 species
UACGGAGGGUGCGAACGUUGUCCGGAAUCACUGGGCGUAAAGCGCAUGUAGGUGGCUUGGUAAGUGGAUGAUUAAAUCCCGACGCUUAACGUCGGACGGGUUGUCCAUACUGCCAGGCUUGAGGAGAGUAGGGGUAAGCGGAACUUUAGGUGUAGGAGUGAAAUCCGUAGAUAUCUAAAGGAACACCAAUGGCGAAGGCAGCUUACUGGACUCUAUCUGACACUGAGAUGCGAAAGCGUGGGGAGCGAACGGG